AAGGAAUUUUCGGCAAUGGGCGCAAGCCUGACCGAGCAACGCCGCGUGAGCGAAGACGGCCCUAUGGGUUGUAAAGCUCUGUUGUAAAGGAAGAACACUAUGAAUAGAAUUCAUAGCUGACGGUACUUUACCAGAAAGCCACGGCUAACUACGUGCCAGCAGCCGCGGUAAUACGUAGGUGGCAAGCGUUAUCCGGAAUUAUUGGGCGUAAAGGGUGCGCAGUCGGCUGAUUAAGUUUGUGGUGAAAGUGCGGGGCUCAACCCCGUAUGGCGCUGGAAACUGUUAGGCUUGAGUGCAGGAGAGGAAAGGGGAAUUCCCAGUGUAGCGGUGAAAUGCGUAGAUAUUGGGAGGAACACCAGUGGCGAAGGCGCCUUUCUGGACUGUGUCUGACGCUGAGAUGCGAAAGCCAGGGUAGCGAACG
rnacentral:rRNA from 1 species